rnacentral:lncRNA from 1 species
UCAGGUAGGUUGCCAAUAUGACUUUGUUAUACUAAAAUUUGUAUAUCAGAUCAUUUAGAUGAAUUAGUUAGAAUUUAUGGAUGUUGUUAAUUCUACUAAUUGGUGUUGGUUAUAAUUAUGUUUGAGGGCUACUGUGAACUGGAUAUGAGCAUGUCCGAUUUCAUAUAUUCGUAUGCAUAAUGUACAGGCCCAAAUCUGCCCGAGCCCAUACAGAUAAAAAAUUAAACCAAAUUAACAGUCCAGUCCAUAACAAAACAACAGGCUCAAUAUGGCCCAAAACAAAAUUAACCCUAAAGGGCCCAACGGCCCAAAACCUAAACCUAGGUUCAGCCAAACUAGGAAACCCUAGCUCUUGGCGCGCCACUGCCUUUGCCCGAAGCCUCCAGCGCCACGUCAUCUCUCAACCUCCAGUGCCGUAUGCCACCACAACCGUACCUCCACCUAGCCAUCAUCGUACUUGCAGAAAAAUAUAAGCACAACAGCAGAAAACAAUGGCGAAAACAAAAAAUAUUGUAAUAAAUUUCGGCUAUAAAAAGCCAUCAAAAAUGAGUUGUAAUGGUUUUUUUUACAAGAUUUUGAAUACAAAAAUAAAAGAAAACAAUCAGAAGCAAAAUACUGUCAAAUGUGCCUUUUUUACUCAUUUCUAGUUUUAUUCAAAAUAAAAAAGCAGUAGUAACAAUAAAAAUCUCACCUUUGAUUCGUUCUCCGUCAUGAUUAAGAGUCUUUGGUAACCUAAACGUCACAAAACCCAUUCGGGUUCCGACGAGGGUCGUGCGCACGACGAAGACGGAGGUUCUAUCAUUUGCGAUUUGCCUCUUUCCUUUCGGUUUUUUUUUUGAAACAAAAAUUGUUUUUAAAAACUUUUAGAAAAUAUUUUUUUUUUUAAAAAAUGUUUUUCUACUUUCCAGCAUGGCAGAGCUACGGCGGAGCCACUUCGCGAGCUCGCCGGCGUCCAGGCCAGAGAAAAAAAGAAUGAGAGAGAACCUAAAGGGAGCUCUCAGUUUUUUGAAGAAAAGAAAGGGGAAAGUGAUU